rnacentral:snRNA from 1 species
AGCUUUGCACAGUGGCAGUAUCGUAGCCAAUGAGGCUUAUCCGAGGUGCGAUUAUUGCUAAUUGAAAACUUUUCCCAAGAUGACAUAUCCAGGAGCCAAGUUCUAGGUACUGAAAACAUUUACUUCAUUUCAACUCUCUAAGAUCAUUUACAAGUUCAGAGACCACUGCUGAAUUUUAGGUCAUGCUUUUGACCA